rnacentral:rRNA from 2 species
UGCGAACGUUGGCGGCGUGCCUAAUACAUGCAAGUCGAACGAAGUCGCCCAUUUGAUUCUUGGUGCUUGCACCAAGAUGAUUUUGGAUCCGACUGAGUGGCGAACUGGUGAGUAACACGUGGGUAACCUGCCCAGAAGAAGGGGAUAACACCUGGAAACAGAUGCUAAUACCGUAUAACAACAAGAACCACAUGGUUCUUGUUUCAAAGCUGGCCUUUGUGCUAGUGCUUCUGGAUGGACCCGCGGCGUAUUAGCUAGUUGGUGAGAUAAUAGCUCACCAAGGCGAUGAUACGUAGCAGACCUGAGAGGGUAAUCUGCCACAAUGGGACUGAGACACGGCCCAUACUCCUACGGGAGGCAGCAGUAGGGAAUCUUCCACAAUGGACGAAAGUCUGAUGGAGCAACGCCGCGUGAGUGAAGAAGGGUUUCGGCUCGUAAAACUCUGUUGUUAGAGAAGAACAGCUGUGAGAGUAACUGCUCACGGUAUGACGGUAUCUAACCAGAAAGUCACGGCUAACUACGUGCCAGCAGCCGCGGUAAUACGUAGGUGGCAAACGUUGUCCGGAUUUAUUGGGCGUAAAGGGAGCGCAGGCGGUUUAUUAAGUCUGAUGUGAAAGCCUUCGGCUUAACCGGAGAAGUGCAUCGGAAACUGAUAAACUUGAGUGCAGAAAAGGAUAGUGGAACUUCAUGUGUAGCGGUGAAAUGCGUAGAUAUAUGAAGGAACACCAGUGGCGAAGGCGGCUAUCUGGUCUGUAACUGACGCUGAGGCUCGAAAGCAUGGGUAGCAAACAGGAUUAGAUACCCUGGUAGUCCAUGCCGUAAACGAUGAAUGCUAGGUGUUGGAAGGUUUCCGCCUUUCAGUGCCGCAGCUAACGCAUUAAGCAUUCCGCCUGGGGAGUACGACCGCAAGGUUGAAACUCAAAGGAAUUGACGGGGACCCGCACAAGCGGUGGAGCAUGUGGUUUAAUUCGAUGCUACGCGAAGAACCUUACCAGGACUUGACAUCUUCUGCCAAUCUAAGAGAUUAGACGUUCCCUUCGGGGACAGAAUGACAGGUGGUGCAUGGUUGUCGUCAGCUCGUGUCGUGAGAUGUGGUUG